rfam:Picea glauca, whole genome shotgun sequence.
ACAUGCCUACAACAUAGCAUUAAUGCACCGAAUCCCAUUAGAACUCCACAGUUAAGCGUGCUCAGGCUAGAGUAGUACUAGGAUGGGUGACCACCUGGGAAGUCUUACUAUUUUACAUGCC